ACGCUGCAGAUCUGUUCAUUUGCUCCGUUUCACGUUUGUGGAUUUCCGACCUAGUCGUGUCCACCUCGCUCUUGCAUUCAAACAAUAGGUACUGGAUAUCAUUCAAUGCCCAAAGAUUGUCGGGACCUUCCUUCCAUUCUGCGUCGGGUCUUUCUCCAGCAAAGCCGAGCGCGAACGCCAGCUCGUUGAGCGCAGACUCAAACUUUUCAGCUUUCGUUCCAAACACCAGACGUCCCAAAAUAUCGGAAACUGUUGCGUCUAGAUCCGCAUAAGAUUCGAAUUUGUUUACCCAGUUAGCUAUUCUCUCCGUGCGUCCUUGGCUCACGAUCGUUAGCUUCGUAACAGUGACACCUGUCGGAGGUUUAAGCAGAAGCUUGUUGUUUCGAUGCGCUGCUACCUGAAGCUUCUGAGCCUCGACGCGAUUUCCAUCAUGAAGAUAGCGAGCCCUCUCUUGAAGAUACCAUCCCCUAUCAUCAGGGUGGGCUAGACCGUCAUCCAGAAGUUUCUGGAUUGUUUGCUCGGCUCGAUUGUAGUCGCCUGCCGCGUAGGCCUGCUCGGCGGCGAGCUCU
rnacentral:sRNA from 1 species